AUUGAACGCUGGCGGAAUGCUUUACACAUGCAAGUCGAACGACAGCACGGACUUCGGUCUGGUGGCGAGUGGCGAACGGGUGAGUAAUGUAUCGGAACGUGCCCAGUCGUGGGGGAUAACGUAGUGAAAAUUACGCUAAUACCGCAUACGAUCUAUGGAUGAAAGCGGGGGAUCGCAAGACCUAGCGCGAUUGGAGCGGCCGAUAUCAGAUUAGGUAGUUGGUGGGGUAAAGGCCCACCAAGCCAACGAUCUGUAGCUGGUCUGAGAGGACGACCAGCCACACUGGAACUGAGACACGGUCCAGACUCCUACGGGAGGCAGCAGUGGGGAAUUUUGGACAAUGGGCGAAAGCCUGAUCCAGCCAUUCCGCGUGCAGGAUGAAGGCCCUCGGGUUGUAAACUGCUUUUGUACAGAACGAAAAGGUUUCUACUAGUACUAGGAGCUCAUGACGGUACUGUAAGAAUAAGCACCGGCUAACUACGUGCCAGCAGCCGCCGUAA
rnacentral:rRNA from 1 species